rnacentral:rRNA from 1 species
GACGAACGCUGGCGGCGCGCUUAACACAUGCAAGUCGAGCGAGAACCUGGGCUUCGGCCCAGGGGACAGCGGCGAACGGGUGAGUAACACGUGGGUAAUCUGCCCUCGGCAUCGGGAUAGCCCGGGGAAACCCGGAUUAAUACCGAAUAGCCUCCGGAGCCUUCGGGCGCCGGAGAAAAGGUAGCUUCGGCCUCUGGCCGAGGAUGAGCCCGCGGAGGAUUAGCUUGUUGGUGGGGUAACGGCCCACCAAGGCGACGAUCCGUAGCUGGUCUGAGAGGACGAUCAGCCACACUGGGACUGAGACACGGCCCAGACUCCUACGGGAGGCAGCAGUGGGGAAUCUUGCGCAAAUGCGGGAAACCGUGACGCAGCGACGCCGCGUGGGGGAAGAAGGCCUUCGGGUUGUAAACCUCUUUCAGGAGGGACGAAGCUACUCGGGUGAAUAGCCCAGAGGGUGACGGUACCUCCAGAAGAAGCCCCGGCUAACUACGUGCCAGCAGCCGCCGUAAAAC